UUACUGUUGAUUGUGACGAAAUGCCAGCUGAGGCACAUGCCUUGGGAGCUAAGUGGUUGCUGCCCUUGACCACUGUGAAGACUGGUGUGGGAAGGGUCGCUUUGGAUGCACUUGAGCAGGGGUCCCCAACCCCUGAGCCAUGGAGCCGCAAGGAGCCACACAGCAGGAGGUGGGACCAUUCAGUUGCAGGAAAACAAGCUUAACACGCCCACUAAUUCUACAUUAUGCUCCUACCUCCCGGCAGCCUCUCCAGGCCCAGAACUUUCUCCAGUCAGCCUCUACAGACCAAGCUCAUGACUCACAAUGGCCUAUUUAGGCCCAUACCCUAUGUCACGGCAGCCUCCGCAGAUGAGGCUACUGCCUCACAACAGCCUCCACAGGCACAGCUCCAUCGUUACAAUGGCCUCUUUAGACCCAGCUCCUGCCUCCCAGCCUUCUCUCCAGGCCCUGAACUUUCUCAAGUCGACCUCACCAGGCCCAGCUCAUGCUUCUUUGCAGCCUCUCCAGGCCCAGCUCCUGCAUCUUGGUGGCCCCUCCAGGCCCAGCCUCUGCCUCCCGUCAGCCUCUACAGUCCCAAAGUCUGCCUCACAGCAGAUUCUUCACGCCCAGCAUCUACCUCACUGUGGACCCCCCAAGCCAAGCUCCCAACCUUUCAGCAGCUUCUACACACCUAGCUCCUGCCACCCAGUGGCCUCUUUAGGCCAAGCUCAUGCUUCACAAGGGCCUUUCCAGGCCCAACUUUUGUCUCAUGGCAACCUUCCCUGGCCAGAUUCCUGCCUGUCUCCCAGCAGCCUAGACAGGCCCAGGUCUUGCCUCACACUGGCCUCUCUACAUCCAGCUUAUGCCUCACGGUGGCCUCUCCACGCCCAACUCCUGUCCCAGGACGUCAUCUCCGGGCCCAAAACUUACUCAAGUCAGACUCUCUAGUCCCAACUGCUGCCUCCUGGUGGCCUAUGAAGGCCCAAAAUCUCCUCAAGUUGACCUGUCCAGGCCCAGCUCCUGCCUCCUGUCAGCGUCUACAGGCCCAACCUCUGCCUCAUGGGGGCUUCUCCAGGCCCACCUCUUCCUCUUGGCUGGGUCUACAGGCACAACUGCUGCCUCACAACAGCCUUUUUUGGCCCAGUUCCUGUCCAGCUCAUGGCGGCCAAUGUAGGCCCAAAACUUCCUCAAGUCAAACUCUCCAGGCCCACCUUCUGCUUCCCGGUGGCAUCAACAGGCCCAGCUUUGACUUGAGAACAGCCUCUGCAGGCCCUGCUCUUGCCUCCCAGGGGCUUUUUCCAGGCCCAGCUCUUGCCUCAUGGCAGCUGCCCCAGGCCAAAUUUCUGCCUGCCUGCCAGCAGCCUCAACAGGCACAGCUCCUCCCUCACAGUGGCCCAUUUAGGCCCAACUCAUGACUGUGAGUCCAUUUCCAGGCCUAGUGCCUGCCUCGUGGCUGACUCUUGAAGCCCAAAACUUCCUCAAAUCAGGCUUUUGCCCAACUUCUGUCUACUGUCGGACUCUACAGGUCAGCCUCUGCCUCACAGUGGACCCUCCAGACCCAGAUGGUGUCUCACUGUGGCAUCCUCAGGCGAAGCUCCUGCCUUUCGGCAGCCUCUCCAGGCCCAGCUCCUCCUGCCUCCCAGUGGCCUCUUUCGGCCCAGCCCAGCUCAUGCCUCCCGGCGGCCUUCCCAAGCCCCGCUUUUGACUUUCGGUGGCCUCUGCAGGCCUCGACAAGGCCCAGCCUCCUGCCUCCCGAAGGCCUGCACAGGCCCAGCCUCUGCCUCACAGCGGACUCUCCACGCCCAGCUAGCUGUUGCUUCACUGCGGCCUCCCGAGUCCAAAGCUCCUGCCUCUCGGCCGCUUCGGCAGGCCCAGCUCCCGCCUGCCAGUGGCCUCUUCAGGCCCAUGGGGCUCAUUCCUGACAACAGCCUUUCCAGGCCCAGUUUUUCCCUUCCGGCGGCCUCUCCGGGCCCAGAACCUCCUCAAGUCGGCCUCUCCAGACCCACUUGCACCCUCCGGGCGUUCUCUCCGGGCCCAGCUCUUCUUCCUGGUUGGGUCUCCAGGCCCGAUUCCUGCCUCUCAACAACCUCUUUGGACUCAGUGCCUACCCAUCUCCUGGCGGCCUUGGUCGGCCCACAGCUUCCUCAAGCCAAGCUCCCCAGGCCCAGGUCAGGCCUCACGGUGGCCUCUCCAGGAUGAGCUCCUGCCCUCCGAUGGCAUCUCCAGGCCCCAAAUGGUCUCCGGUCGGUGGGCUCCUCCACGCCAAGGUUGGGCCUCCCGGCGACCGCCGCAGGCCCAAGUUGUCCUGAAGUCAGGCUCUCCCGGCCCUGCCUCCCAGCAAGUAAGCAAGCUCUUUUGGCUCAACUCCUGCCCAGCUCCCAACCGCCUUUGUAGGCCCCGAACUUUCUCCAGCCAAGCUCUGAGGGCCCACCUCCUGCCUCCUGGUGGCCUGUACAGUUCUAGCACUGGUUGGAGAACAGCCUCUGCAGGCCCCUCCCUUGCCUCCCAGGGGCCUCUCCAGGCCCAGCUCUUGCCCCCACGGCGGCCUCCCGGGGCCAAGUCCCUGCCUGCCUCCCAGCAGCCCGCGUGCGGCCCAGCUCCUCCCUCACGGUGGCCUGUUGAUGCCCAACUCAUGCCUCUGGCACCCUGCCCAGAGGCGUGAGCCCCUGCCUCACACUGGCUCCUCCCACGCUGAGAGAGGUCAGUGUGAGCCCUUGCCUCACACCGGCCCCUCCCACGCGGACAGAGGUCAGCGUGAGCCCCUUGUCUCACACCGGCCCCUCCCACGCUGAGAGAGGUCAAUGUGAGCCCUUGCCUCACACCGGCCCCUCCCACGCGGACAGAGGUCAGCGUGAUCCCCUGCCUCAACAGGCCACCGUGAGGGAGGAACAGGAUCGCACUCGGGCUGCUGGGAGGUAGGCAGGGACUUGGGCCUGGGAGGUCGCGGUGGGGCGAGAGCUGGGCCUGGAGACUCCCCUGGGAGGCAACAGCGGGGUCUGCAGACGCCCUUCUCCAGCCGGAGCUGGGACUGUUCAGUCACUGGGAGAAGGGAUGUGGGUCUGAAGAGCUUGGUUGCAGAAACUUCGGGGUCUACAAACGCAGGCGGGAGCUGAGCCAAAAGAGCUUGUUUGCUGGGAGGUGGGAGAUGCAGCCAGGAGGAACAGCUGGGCAAUGCGGGAGGCAGAGGCCAGGCCUCCUCAAGUUGGCCUCUCAGACCCACUUGCAGCCUCCCGGCGCCCCCUCCGGGCCCAGCUCUUCCUCCCGGCUGCAUCUCCAGGCCGGACUCUGGCCCGACUCCAGGUCCCAACAACGUCUUUGGACUCAGCUCCUGCCCAGCUCCCAGCGGCCCUGGUAGGCCCACAACUUCCCUAAGCCAAGCUCCCCAGGCCCAGCUCAGGCCUCGCGGUGGCCUCUCCAGGCUCAGCUCCUGGCCCUCCGAUGACAUCUGCAGGCCCCAAAUGGCCUCCGGUCGGUGGGCUCCUCUAGGCCCAGCUUGGGCCUCCCGGCGGCCUCUGCAGGCCCAAAUCGUCCCGAAGUCAGUCUCUCCAGGCUUAGCUCCAGCCUCCCGGCGGCCUCUGCAGGCCCAAGUCGUCCUCAAGUCGGCCUGGAAGUGGGCCUGGAAGAGCAGCAAGUCGGCCUCCCUGGGCCCAGCUCCGUCCUCUCGACGGCCUCUCCAGGUGCAAAACUUCCUCGAGUCAGCCUCUCCAGGCCCAGCUCCUCCUGCCUCCCAGUGGCCUCUUUCGGCCCAGCCCAGCUCAUGGCUCUCGGCGGCCUUCCCAGGCCCCGCUUUUGACUUUUGGCAGCCUCUUCAGGCGCAGAACUUGAUCUCCAGUCGGCCUUUGCAGGCCCGGCCUCCUGCCUCUCGAAGGCCUGCACGGGCCCGGCCUCGGCCUCGGCCUCACAGCAGACUCUCCACGCCCAGCUAGCUCUCGCCUCACUGCGGCCUCCCCAGUCCAAAGCUCCUGCCUUUCGGCCACUUCGGCAGGUCCAGCUCCUGCCUGCCAGUGGCCUCUUUAGGCCCAGCUCAUUCCUCACGUCGGCCAUUCCAGGCCCCGUUUUUCCCUUCCGGCAGCCUCUUGGCCUCUAAUUUGUUUAUCUUUUGUGUAUAAAUCCCAAAAUAUUGAAUUUUGGAAUAUUUCCACCAUUAUGUAAAUAUUUUGAUAGGUAAUUUAUUUGGAGUGAGUUUCUGCGCCAAGCCCGAAUUUUUUAUUUUAUUUUCCUUAUUAUUUGGUGUUAAACAGGUUUAAUGACGGUCAUGGCAACUUUUUGGCACAAUGAAAAAUAUCGCCCACGA
rnacentral:lncRNA from 1 species